rnacentral:rRNA from 1 species
UGGGGAAUUUUGGACAAUGGGCGCAAGCCUGAUCCAGCCAUGCCGCGUGCGGGAAGAAGGCCUUCGGGUUGUAAACCGCUUUUGUCAGGGAAGAAACGGUCUGUCUUAAUACUGCGGACUAAUGACGGUACCUGAAGAAUAAGCACCGGCUAACUACGUGCCAGCAGCCGCGGUAAUACGUAGGGUGCAAGCGUUAAUCGGAAUUACUGGGCGUAAAGCGUGCGCAGGCGGCUUUGCAAGACAGAUGUGAAAUCCCCGGGCUCAACCUGGGAACUGCAUUUGUGACUGCAAGGCUGGAGUGCGGCAGAGGGGGAUGGAAUUCCGCGUGUAGCAGUGAAAUGCGUAGAUAUCAGGAGGAAUACCGGUGGCGAAAGCG